GCCCUUGUAGCUCAGACGGUAGAGCACUUGACUUUUAAUCAAGGUGUCCGGAGUUCGAAUCUCCGCAAGAGCACCA
rnacentral:tRNA from 1 species